rnacentral:misc_RNA from 1 species
UUUCAAGCUUAGAGUAGUGUGCUAGGUUCUGAACUCUUUCAACAUUCGAAGUUAUAGAACUAGGCCAUGAACCAACUGUUCAAAGUGUUUGUGACGCGAAGAAUCCCCGACCCCGGGACGCAAAUUUUGACGCCGAGCUGCGACGUAACUUUUUGGGAGAGUGAUGACGCCAUACCAAGAGAAGACCUCUUGAAAAAUGUGAAGGAUGUGGAUGCUAUUUUGUGCAUGCUGACCGACAAAAUUGACAGAGAAGUGUUGGAACAAGCAGGGCCCCAGCUCCAGGUGGUGUCGACGAUGUCGGUAGGUUACGAGCAUAUCGACCUCCAGGCCUGUCAGGAGAGGGGUGUGUCGGUCACAAACACCCCAAACGUAUCGACGGACAGCGUGGCGGAGCUGACAGUGUCACUGGUCCUGCUCACCGCCCGCCGGCUCCUGGAAGGUGCAUAUGCGGUGAAAAAUGGCGAAUGGGGGAAAUGGAAACCUAUGUGGCUCUGUGGAGUUGAGAUGAAGAAACGAACAUUCGGAAUAAUGGGUCUCGGUCGUAUUGGUUAUGGAGUAGCGAAAAGAAUUAAACCGUUUGGAGUCGAAAGGAUCAUUUAUCACGAUGUUUAGAAACUAAGCUUUGCUUCGGACUUUGGAGGCGAGUAUGUUGAAUUUGAGGAUCUUGUCAAAGAGUCGGACAUCCUGUGUAUAUGUUGCAAUAUGAACCCCCAAACGAGGCAUUUGUUUAACAAGAAAACGUUUCAGAAGAUGAAAACAACCGCCAUUAUUAUAAAUACCGGAAGAGGGGGAAUCAUCAACCAUGAUGAUCUCUACGAAGCCUUGACAUCCGAUCAAAUUGCUGCUGCGGGGCUUGACGUCACAGAACCAGAACCACUUCCUAUGAACCACCCAUUACUCACCUUGAAUAAUUGCGUCAUACUUCCACACAUGGGGAGCAAUACAUGGGAGUCAAGAAACCGCAUGGCAGAAAUUGCGGCUGAAAAUAUCACAAGUGUACUGAACAAGGGUCGUCCGAAAGGGGAGGUGCUACGACGGAUUGAAGCAUAGUUUUUGACGGUUUUUUUUUAAUAAUAAUCUAUUGAAAUAUACUCUUUUUUCAUUAUUUUUUUUACAAUCUCUAAUGUUAACUUAUUAUAACUGCGUGUAUCUUGUUUUGCUUGUUUUUAAAAAUAUAUGAAUAAUAAAUGAUUUCAAAAUAUGAUAUUAAUACAUCAAUAAAAAAUGAUAUGCAUGAAUUUUAUGGAAGCCUAUUAGUAUCAUUUAUGUAACUGAAAAUGAAAAGAUAUUCUUUUUAUCGCUUUCCAAUAUAUAAAUCAGAAUGUAUUUUUAUUCAUACUGUAUUGCAUUUAUAAAUGUAGAAAUAAAUUCUGACAUGGAAUUGUGC